rnacentral:rRNA from 1 species
GACGAACGCUGGCGGCGUGCCUAAUACAUGCAAGUAGAACGCUGAAGGAGGAGCUUGCUUCUCUGGAUGAGUUGCGAACGGGUGAGUAACGCGUAGGUAACCUGCCUGUUAGCGGGGGAUAACUAUUGGAAACGAUAGCUAAUACCGCAUAAUAGUAGAUGUUGCAUGACAUUUGCCUAAAAGGUGCAAUUGCAUCACUACCAGAUGGACCUGCGUUGUAUUAGCUAGUUGGUGGGGUAACGGCUCACCAAGGCGAAGAUACAUAGCCGACCUGAGAGGGUGAUAGGCAACACUGGGACUGAGACACGGCCCAGACUCCUACGGGAGGCAGCAGUAGGGAAUCUUAGGACAUGGACGGAAGUCUGACCGAGCAACGCCGAGUGAGUGAAGAAGGUUUUCGGAUCGUAAAGCUCUGUUGUAAGAGAAUAACGAGUGUGAGAGUGGAAAGUUCACACUGUGACGGUAUCUUACCAGAAAGGGACGGCUAACUACGUG